rnacentral:tRNA from 1 species
AUUCUCGUCGUCUAAUGGUUAGGAUGCCUGCCUUUCAAGCAGGAAGAUGUCGGUUCGAAUCCGAUCGGGAAUACAA